UACACUGGUGGCGACCGGCGCACGGGUGAGUAACACGUAUCCAACCUGCCGAUAACUCGGGGAUAGCCUUUCGAAAGAAAGAUUAAUACCCGAUGGCAUAAUAGAACCGCAUGGUUUGAUUAUUAAAGAAUUUCGGUUAUCGAUGGGGAUGCGUUCCAUUAGGCAGUUGGUGGGGUAACGGCCCACCAAACCUUCGAUGGAUAGGGGUUCUGAGAGGAAGGUCCCCCACAUUGGAACUGAGACACGGUCCAA
rnacentral:rRNA from 1 species